UACAAGCAAUAUGUGUACUUUGUGUCAAAUAUGAUAUAUUUCCUAAUAUAAAUGUCAAAGUAUAUGUAGUUUAUGAUUAAAGUAUAAUCAUUUCGUCUCAAUUAUUAUAUUAACUGUGAUAGUAGAAGUGCUAGAGAUUUGGUCGUCAUAUCUUUAUUUUUUGUAUAUAUUUUUUCUCACAGACUGAAGAAAUUGGGUCCUGAAAAAGUUAGUCCAUUCGUAGAUAAUUCAGGUAUUUGGAAAUAACAUAUUUCUACAUUCUAUUAGAGCCUCCUUAAGUUCAUUUUAAGCAGUGAUCUAAGAAUCUUUCUAUGUCAAAAUUUACAUUAAAAAUUGACUCUUGGGAGGAGUCAAUUUCGGCGGACUCAAUAUUCUCCUUCUCCUUCAAACUCCGCCGCCUCUUUCGAUUAAUACGCGGAAGAGAUUAUGAAGGAAAGAAAAAUAUUUCCUCGGCCCGGAAUGUCUUCGAAACGGCGUAAAAAACGGCACACCUCGACACAAAUUUAUUCGAGCGUAACGGAACGAACAUUCGGCGGAUCUUAGCAACGGAAUCAUCAUCAUUAUCAUCAUCGUUGUACCACGCGAAGAACGGAGCCAGUUUUAUAGGUCAGAACAUCGAGGCGAUCUCACGGACAGCUCGCGUAUGGAUCUCGCGGAACAGCGCCGCUUUCGUUCUCAAGCACCAGCGUUGAAGUGCAGCGCGACGAUAAUAAUAAUAAAAAUAGCCGGAGUCGAGCUAACGGUUUCUCACAUCCUACUGCCACACUUACUACUCGCCUAACGUGCUACGAACACGUUUCCAUCGACUUCCAGUAGCUUCCAGUUCUGUGCUUCGCUCACAGGCACGUACCUGACUAUCGAAUUAGGGCUACGUACAGAUACACUCACUAAUAUCAUAAGUAUAUGAGUAUAUGUGGUCAUAAGUAUAUACGUACGUAUAAGAAUAUGACACUUAGCUGAUUUGGUAUUGUAACAAUAGUACGUGAAUUUUACGAAAGUGUGCAAAUUAACGAUGACUCAUAUAGUAAUUAGAAACAACACUUGCUAUCUCUUUAUCCAUCAAGAUAUCACUUUAAAUUACGUAUUAAAAAACAUUGCAAUAAUAUAUUUUAGACACUCAAUUAUCCAUUAUAUCCGUAUAUAUUAAUAAGUUUCGAUGUUCAGUGGGAUUAUCUGUAAUCAAAUUAAACUUAAUAAAAUUCAAUAUAUAGCAUGUGUAUGAAAGUUUUCUACAGUAUGUGUUCAAAUAUUUUCACGAGCGUACGCGUAUAAUACCGUAGUAGUUAACAAUUAAACUUUGCUAUUAAAGUUCGCACACGACUCUCAAUUAUACCAAAUGAGUGAAAAACAUUGAAAGUUUCGAGUGGUUCCAAUUCGGCGACUACAAACUUCAUAGCAAGCCGUAGGCCGAACCACUGGACAGACAAAAAGGAACAGAGUGUAGAAUGGCCACGGGAUUCGAAUGCAACGGAGACGACUGCUCGAUUAACAGCAAGUGCCUCCGGUCACGCGACCCUUUUUCUCGUUAACUCGACCAAGAACUUGCGUAUACACGUCGAACGUGCUUCCACGGAUCCUUUUUGCAGAUAGCUGGGAACGUCUUGGGAGCCGUAUUGGCUAAGUCGAUGGUUGUUAAAUCUUUCGAAGAGUGGGAAAAAGAUCAGAUAGUUUGAAAAGUUUGCUUCCGAAAAUGUUACCCUGGGGCUGUUGAGGCUGGUUUACGUUGGAACAACCAGCAACAGUUGGAAGAAUCUCUGUGGACGCGUAAACGAUGAAGAAACAAGGAAGGGAUCGGCAAGAAUGUCAAAGAGGCAGAGGAAAUGAAGAAACGCAUUCUGAUCAGCGAAGAGGAAGCGUGUUCAUAAGAAAGGAAAGACGCAAAGGCGGACACAAGCGACGAGUAUGCAAAUCGUUUCACCGGCCUGAUAUUUAUCGAGACGAGAAACCGAUAUCCUGUUGUAACACAUUGCGAAUCGAUCGAAGUCUUCACCACCGUUCAACGUCCACUGUCCACUAGCAAUUUCACCUGCUAAUUAACGUCUCGUUAAGUGACAUCGUUCAUUUGCCUGGAGGACGUACCGUGGCUUACCGAUGUAUAAUCGUCGACAAAUAAUUAACUCAUCGAUUAGGGGAUCUCUCUCGUGUUUCGUCGAGAUCUAUAUAGUAUUAAUAUAGGUACCUUAACGUCGUCGAUUUUUAUAGCUUAGUAGCAUCCGACAAGUCAGUUUUAAAGUGAUUUAACGCACUCUUAAAGUAUUAAGAAUCAAACUUCUGGUAACCUAACGUUUUUUUAGUUACAAUUUAUGUUAUCGAAUAUACUAUUUGGAUCGUGUAGCAUUGAUUAAUAUUUUGUUGGACAAACAUUCCGUUCGUCUUUAAAAAAUACAAGAAGUAUCUUACGACACGACGCGCGCGACGGUUGAAUCUUUUAUCCGAGUCAGGACGUUGUUCGAUGAAAUAUGAAGCAGGAUUUUAGAUGCAACGUUACUUUAGAGAGAGCGUUGGUAACGUGAAUACUAAAAUAUCCUCGACAAUUUUGAAAUGAAUACGUCCAUGAAUCGUCAUACAUUACGAGUAUUUCUACCUUUAUCAAUCUUACAAUAUUAUUGUUUGUGCCCUCUAUCAUGAAUAAAUAAAAUACACUGGCUUACGAUAGUAUCAUUUGCGUUAUGCAAAAUAUUUUGAAAUUUCAUUAGCGCUGUGACGAGACGCGAUUGUCGCGAUUAUAUUGGUAAAAGAGAUCAAUCUGGAAAUGUAUACACAAGUCAUAAGUCACAAAGCAUCAAACAUGUAAUUAACGCUAAAGCUAGCCCCAUUGAAUAUCGAGGUCUGUUGAAAUAGUGGAUAAUUGACUGUUUAAAAUAAUUUCACGAUUUUUACGAUAUGCUUGCAAGAAAUAUCCGACAACUUCUAUAAUUCAAUUUAAUCGUGACAAUUGUAUCAUGUUUGUGUACAAGGGUUCGAAUAGUUUCGCGAGCCUGUGUACAAAAAACACGGAAAUAUCUCCAGUUGACGAGGUGUUUGAAGGAGGAUAAAGAGGAUUAAGCCUCUCCUAAGGAUGGGCUUGGCUUUUUCCGGUGGUUUUUCGCAAUACCAAGGACGAAUCUGUCGGUGAGAGGACGUCUCUCGAAAUCCGAUCACGUCUGUGGCGUAGCAUUAUAUGUAGAUGCACGCCCGUUUCAAGAGUUUGCCUUCCUUUUUUUAAUUCUUUUUCUAUCUCUUUCACAGCGUCACCCCGUGCACGUCGUCACCGCCUCGUUGGUCGAACGUGAACACAGCUACACAGGCCUCUAUUGUUUGCUAAUGGCCGCUCUUUCAAUAAUUCGGGACCAAUCAUUACAGGCGAACGAACCGCGGGG